rnacentral:rRNA from 1 species
GACGAACGCUGGCGGCGUGCUUAACACAUGCAAGUCGAACGGAAAGGCCCUGCUUUUGUGGGGUGCUCGAGUGGCGAACGGGUGAGUAACACGUGAGUAACCUGCCCUUGACUUUGGGAUAACUUCAGGAAACUGGGGCUAAUACCGGAUAGGAGCGCCUGCUGCAUGGUGGGGGUUGGAAAGUUUCGGCGGGUGGGGAUGGACUCGCGGCUUAUCAGCUUGUUGGUGGGGUAGUGGCUUACCAAGGCUUUGACGGGUAGCCGGCCUGAGAGGGUGACCGGCCACAUUGGGACUGAGAUACGGCCCAGACUCCUACGGGAGGCAGCAGUGGGGAAUAUUGCACAAUGGGCGGAAGCCUGAUGCAGCAACGCCGCGUGCGGGAUGACGGCCUUCGGGUUGUAAACCGCUUUCGCCUGUGACGAAGCGUGAGUGACGGUAAUGGGUAAAGAAGCACCGGCUAACUACGUG